GCCAUCUUGUGCCCCGCCGGCACUCGAGGCGCAUUGGGGUGUCCGCCAUCCUCUGCUGCUCAGAACAGAACAGCGGUGCGGGACAAGCCCAGAGAAUGGGCCGGAGCCCAUGGGCCAUGCUGUACCCCACAAUGAUUGAUCCACUGACACCCACUGCUGUUGGGUGCUGGUCCAGGUGCAUGUAGCACAGCGCUGUGCAGGCUAUUAUUAGAGAGGCACUUGGAAGAGAGCCCCUGGGAUACGUCCCACUUCAGUUGACAGCAGCAGCCUUGAAGCACUGCUUAGGGCAUCAGCCUGCCUUUGAAGCUCUAGUGAUGGCAUCUCCGGUGCAUGUAGUCAGGACAGACGGAAAGCCAGAAACCAGCUGACAGCUUAACACUUUCAGACCAAUGAGGGAAGACUACAGCUGAACUAUUCAAUUGUGAGUUACAGUGCAGGUAAGCCUAGCCUGGGCUGUUCUACUUACUUCCCUUUCCUUAGUGGAGCCUCCCUGCUCACAGACAUGCUGACUGCAGUCAGAACUGCUAUCCCAGAGCAACUCAGGCAGGGGAGUGAUACAAAAACAUACAGAAAGGUGUGAAAACACAAGGACAGAUACAUUUCUGACAUGUACAGGAGAUGGGAUAGUGAGGUGAGAUAGCAGCUUGACCAAAUGGAAAGAGAGGGAUCAAUCUGGAACGUGACAAGGAAGAGAAUAUGGUUAAAUAUCGUAAUGUUUCUUAAAAGUCUGCAGUGUAGCUGAAAUCCUUUUUAGGCUAUGGAAAAGCUGCCCGAGACAGGUCAUUUAUCCUGAAACACUUGGAAAUGUGACAGCACAAAAGUGCAGAGUUAUGUUUUGAGUCUAGACAAGAUAAAUCAGGGCAUAGAGACCCCAAAACACUCUCCCAUUACAUAAGCAGGCUCAAACAUAAGACAUCAUUCAAAACCAACAUCAUUUAAUUCUUCCCUCUUCAGGACGGGAACAGAGCAGACACUCCUGGGGUUACAUGAGCAAGCAGAAAGAGGGGUAAGGGACUAACCGAGCUAGGAAAUCCCAGCUAAACAUGCAGGCAAUAGAACCACUCUACUCAAGACAGCCCAGAUCUGGGUGGG